rnacentral:rRNA from 1 species
CCUACGGGCGGCAGCAGUGGGGAAUAUUGCACAAUGGGCGCAAGCCUGAUGCAGCCAUGCCGCGUGUGUGAAGAAGGCCUUCGGGUUGUAAAGCACUUUCAGCGGGGAGGAAGGCGUUAAGGUUAAUAACCUUGGCGAUUGACGUUACCCGCAGAAGAAGCACCGGCUAACUCCGUGCCAGCAGCCGCGGUAAUACGGAGGGUGCAAGCGUUAAUCGGAAUUACUGGGCGUAAAGCGCACGCAGGCGGUCUGUCAAGUCGGAUGUGAAAUCCCCGGGCUCAACCUGGGAACUGCAUUCGAAACUGGCAGGCUAGAGUCUUGUAGAGGGGGGUAGAAUUCCAGGUGUAGCGGUGAAAUGCGUAGAGAUCUGGAGGAAUACCGGUGGCGUAGGCGGCCCCCUGGACAAAGACUGACGCUCAGGUGCGAAAGCGUGGGGAGCAAACAGGAUUAGAUACCCUUGUAGUC